rnacentral:lncRNA from 1 species
CUAAGUACUUAUAACAGAUAAUGGAAAGCAGUUCGACAAUUCACAAUUCAGAAACUUCUGUGUUAAUCUCGGGAUUGACCAUCGUCUGACGUCAGUAUCGCACCCUCAAAGCAAUGGCCUCGCUGAGGUGACAAGUAGGAUCAUACUUCAGGACCUUCGCACCAGGAUCGGAAAUACAAGAGGUGACUGACCCGAUGAGUUGCCCUCCAUAUUGUUGGCAUAUAGAACUUCUCAUAAAACAGCAACAGGUGAGACUCUUUUCAUGUUAGCUUUCGGCUUAGAGGCCACUAUUCCCAUCGAAGUCAGUCUCCCCACUUUAAGAAGAGUUGAACCCGGCGUGGAAGACCAAACAACCGAACAUCUUGACUUACUUGAAGAAGUAAGAGAGCAAGCUUCACUGGGAGCUGCUAGUUACCAAAAUAAAACGGCAAAGUACUUUAACACCAAAGUCAAGUCCCGAGAAUUUAAGAGUGGCGAUUUGGUUCUAAGAAGACCAGAGGCAGCUGGACACCCUCCAGGUAAACUUGGACUGGUAUGAAAAGGGCCAUUCGAAGUCAUACGAAGGAUCAAAGGAGGAGCAUACAGCCUUAGAGAUACUUCAGAAAAUCCACUCUCAAGGCCUUGGAAUGUGGAUAACCUAAAAAUAUAUUACAAGUAGAAUAGCAAUAACGUCGCACAAGGGUUUGCACACGCGCCUUAUUUUUAUUUUUAGUAGCUCGGGUUUAUGAACCCUUGAGCAUUUUUUGCUUUCAGUAGCUCGGGCUACGUACCCUUGAGCACCUAAUAAUAUCCAAGUUUUUUUUUUACUAGAAGUACUUAAACUUUGGCGUAACAACGUGCUUCGGGCAUGCAGCCAACUCUUCAACAUUAGUGUAAUGACGUGCUAUGGGCAUGCAACUAAUAACUUUGGCAUAAUGACGUGCUACGAGCAUGCAACUAAUAACUCUGGUAUAAUAACGUGCUUCGGGCAUGCAGCCAAUUCUUCAACAUUAGUGUAAUGACGUGCUACAGGCAUGCAACUAAUAACUCUGGCAUAAUGACGUGCUUCGGGCAUGCAGCCAAUUCUUCAACAUUAGUGUAAUGACGUGCUACGGGCAUGCAACUAAUAACUCUG